rnacentral:rRNA from 1 species
GACGAACGCUGGCGGCGUGCUUAACACAUGCAAGUCGAACGGAAAGUCCCUGCUUUUGUGGGGUGCUCGACUGACGAACUGGUGAGUAACACGUGAGUAACCUGCCCUUGACUUUGGGAUAACUUCAGGAAACUUGGUCUAAUACCGGCUAGGAGCUCCUGCUGCAUGGUGGGGGUUGGAAAGUUUCGGCGGUUGGGGAUGGACUCGCGGCUUAUCAGCUUGUUGGUUGGGUAGUGGGUUACCAAGGCUUUGACCGGUAGCCGGGCUGGGAGGGUGACCGGCCACAUUGGGCCUGAGAUACGGCCCAGACUCCUACGGGAGGCAGCAGUGGGGAAUAUUGCACAAUGGGCGGAAGCCUGAUGCAGCAACGCCGCGUGCGGGAUGACGGCCUUCGGGUUGUAAACCGCUUUCGCCUGUGACGAAGCGUGAGUGACGGUAAUGGGUAAAGAAGCACCGGCUAACUACGUG